rnacentral:rRNA from 1 species
AUACGUAGGGUGCAAGCGUUGUCCGGAUUUAUUGGGUUUAAAGGGUGCGUAGGCGGCCUGUUAAGUCAGUGGUGAAAUCCAACAGCUCAACUGUUGAUGUGCCAAUGAUACUGACGGGCUUGAGUACAGACGAGGUAGGCGGAAUUGACAGUGUAGCGGUGAAAUGCAUAGAUAUUGUCAAGAACACCGAUAGCGAAGGCAGCUUGCUAGCCUGUAACUGACGCUGAUGCACGAAAGUGUGGGGAUC